GAUUUAAUCUUCGUUCUCAAAAUACACAAGUAAUCAAGCUAAAUCAACGAAAUCACACAAAAUUCCUGUCAACAUAACCUACUUUGCGAAAUCUAAUCAACUAAUUCACAAACGCUUCCUUCGAACACCCUUCAAAUAUUCCUAAAUCCAAUUCAACAGAAUUCCCAAACACACAUCUCAAAUAUCCUUAACCUUCUCCUUAUUCGCAAAUAUCACUCUCCCAUCUUUUCUAACCUCUUUCCCCGUCAACUUUUAUUUCUCCACUUUCUUAUUUAAGAAAUUAUGAACACAUAUCGAGACACUAUCUGCCCUGAUAUCAAUAUCGAUAAACAGAAAUGGGAACGAAGUUUCUGGAUUUUCUAUUAAACUUACUUUACUUUCUUUAUGUGUACAUGAAUGUGUGCACUAGACGUCAAGAGGUAAAGUUACAAUCGUCCAGGCUAUUCGGCCAUUACAGGAUGCUGGAUUGGUAACGAUGGGUGGAUACUUUCAUUUUUCUCUUUUCUUUUCUUUGUUUUCUCGAACAGAAUUAACCAGCUACUCUUCAUUGUGGACUUUAAGAAAGGUUACCGGAUGGGGGUCAGCUGUUCUUUCAGUGUGUAUCGUUCACCAUAUAAGAAUUAAGUACAAGAUCUACGAGAUUAAACCUGCAACACCAAUAAUCGAAUAAUAACAAAGUCGACCAGCUUACUUCCUCUUAUACCCAUCUAUUUCGGAAACGGCGUUAUUCUACAAGAUCAGUAUCAGAGGCUGCCAUGGUUCAGGCCACAUCGAUUAUAAUCUAUCUUUUUUGAAAUUACUCGUUAUUGAAUGGAUACUCGAUGAAUGAGUAUUUCAGAAUAGUUUAAAUGUUUCUGGAAGUAAUUUUAAAAGAACCAUAUUUUGAGGCGUUGCUACAUUAUUACGAGAUUUUAAGAUUAAGAAAUAGGUUAUGUAGGAGUAGAGUAAUUGAAUAUUCUACCUAAUCAUUGAAAUAAUUUUACUACUAUCGAAGUUUCUGUAAGGAUCAAUUAAAUUUGAAUAAACUGGACGAUUAUGCGAACACUUCCGUGUUCUGUGCUCGGAGAAAAUGAUUCUGAGUGCGGACGAUAAAGAUAUCUGCUGCUUGGCGAAUUAUCGGAAAUACGAUGUUGUCGUCGCAUGUAACUGCGUGUAAACGUGUGCAUGAUCAUAAAUCACAAGCAGUGUAACUAUGCAUUUUACUUGCAACGAUGGGGAUGUCAGCGAUACUUGAAGAUUUACACGGAACAUUUUCCUACUACGCUAUAUUUUCAUUUCAGGGAAAAUCAUGGAGAACCAGUUAAGAUGAUAGAAAUGAAGAUAAAAUUAGUAAAAUAAAGUAAAAUAAAGAAUUUAAUAAGAUAAACAAGGAAGAAACUAAACAAAAAAUAAGUAAAAGAAAGGAAAAAAGAAAAAAAUGAGUGGGAAAAAAAUCAAAAGAAAAUAAAGACAAGGUGAAAGAAAAAUAAUAAAAAAUGAAAGGAAUGAUGGUAAUAAAAAUGAAAAAGGAGAGAAAGUAGGUAUAGGCGCCGAAUCCUCAAUUUUGUCCACGUAGAUGUAUGACGAAGGUACAGACUGAAAGAAAACGAUGAAAAAGGUAGAUGGCAAAGCCCCGUAAGAAACACGCGAGAGAAAAUUGUAGCAUUUGCGGCACGUGAGAGGAUUGCAUGCAGUCCGCGUAAAAGGUCUAAGAAUCUAUGUGUAAAUAUAGUACAAAGAAACAUGUCAGGUAAUUCAAAUGGAACUACACGAUAAUUAUGAUAUAUAUAUGUACAGAACAAUGCGUACAAGUUGAAGCCGACUAUUUUCUGAUUCUAAUUGAACGAAAAUGUUAAUGGAGAAAGGUAAAUCUGAACAUAUUUUUUAUAAAAUAUUUUGGAUUAUGCGAUAUACCACUUUCUUUAAACAGAAUUUUGUAUUUUUUCAUUACGUAAGAUUACAU